AUGAACGCUGGCGGCGUGCCUAAUACAUGCAAGUCGCGCGAACAGACGAGGAGCUUGCUCCUUUGACGUUAGCGGCGGACGGGUGAGUAACACGUGGGUAACCUACCUAUAAGACUGGGAUAACUUCGGGAAACCGGAGCUAAUACCGGAUAAUAUUUCGAACCGCAUGGUUCGAUAGUGAAAGAUGGCUUUGCUAUCACUUAUAGAUGGACCUGCGCCGUAUUAGCUAGUUGGUAAGGUAACGGCUUACCAAGGCAACGAUACGUAGCCGACCUGAGAGGGUGAUCGGCCACACUGGAACUGAGACACGGUCCAGACUCCUACGGGAGGCAGCAGUAGGGAAUCUUCCGCAAUGGGCGAAAGCCUGACGGAGCAACGCCGCGUGAGUGAUGAAGGUCUUCGGAUCGUAAAACUCUGUUAUUAGGGAAGAACAAACGUGUAAGUAACUGUGCACGUCUUGACGGUACCUAAUCAGAAAGCCACGGCUAACUACGUG
rnacentral:rRNA from 1 species